UGUUAGUCUGAAGGAAAAGGAAGUUAUCACCAAGCUCAUCUGAUUUUGAUAUGAAAGACCUGCCUGAAAAUCAACCACCUAACUCUCUACCACCUUUCAGACAGUGACCCCUCUCAUCGCUACUAGCAGCUGUGUCUUCCAACAUGGCAGAUGUCUAAUGUCUUCAAAUAAACCUUCAUGAACUCCCUGGCAGGUGCCACAGAUGAUUUUGACCCCAAUGAAGAGGCCUGAUGGUUAUAUGUAAGCAAGGAGGCUGCUUGACCUGCCCCAGUGAGGCUGGGAGAAGGCUGACCUCUUUAGGACCCCAUGCCAACUGUCAAGGCUUCAAGAGCAGAAGAAAAGCACAGGUCUCUCUAGGUGGAAACUACCAACUUACUACAUUUUCUAAAAAAUAGGCAUCAGGAAAAAAAUAAGCUGCUUGAGGCAUCAGUAAAGCUGCGAGUCAGACCCUGCGAGGCAGUGGAAGACGGUGCAUCCGGAGCUGACCGUCCCUCCCGUAUCUUUUGCAUUCAGAGUCCGUGGGAGAAUUAGCUUUUCUCCAAAUCUACCUCUUCUCCCUUAGCCUUAUUGCCAAGGAGUCUAGACUUGGAGGCUGAGACUGAUUGCCCAGGAAGGGGGAACAGAAAUGCCAGUUUUCAGCUUGAGUGUCACAGACUCUAAAAUCUUGAGAGCCAAGCUUGCAAAAGAGGAAAAAAGGAUUUGAUUGGGUUUUCCUGAAUUGUGUUUUUACAGAUGGUCCCUGAUUGCUUUUUUUCCCCCUUUCAUAGUGAUAGGAUUCUUGCCUAGCACAGUACCAGCCAGAAUAAGUAGUUUAUCCAGCCUCCCUUGCAGCUGGGAGAGGAUGUCACAAAGUCACAAAGCUGGACCAGUGGGAUGCAGGUAGGAGUGUCAUGUGGCAGCUGCCGGGAAACUUCCUUAAAAACCUGGUCAGAGUGAACCCCAUGCUGCCUCCUGGACCAUGGUGGGUGAGGGCCCCUUUCCAGCGGUGGUGAGUGGUGCAGGAAGGAGUCUGAUCUUAAGGACCAGGGCAGAACUGCCUCACCAGCACGGAAGGCAGAACUUUGGACCCAUGACCUUGCCCCUGGUGUUAUCCUAUGAGUAUGUUACAUUACAUGGCAAAAUGGACUUGGCAGAUGUAGUUAAGGUUACUAAUCAGUUGACCUUAAGCUGAAGAGUAUCCUCAACUAAUCAGGUGGACCAAAUCUAAGUUGUGUGUCCUUCUAAAGAGAGAUCUUUCUCCAGUUGUCACGGGAAAGGGGAAAUCAGAGAUUUAAAGCAGGAGAAGAUUUGACUUGCGGUUGUUGGCUUGAAGAUGAAGGGGUCCACCUGUCAAGGAGACAGGACUUGAGUCAUAUGUCUGCAGUGAACUGAGUUCCCGCAACAAGCUGGAUGAACUUAGAAGUGAAUUCUUUCCAGAGUCUCCAGGGAAGAGCUCAGCACUGCCAACACCUGGGUUUUAGCUGUAAGAGGCUCUCAGCAGAGGACGCAGCGGAGCCGUGCUGUGCCUGGACUUCUGAUGCAUCAAUGCUGGGAGGCAGUAACUUCUUGUCAUUUAAAGCUGCUGCAUUUGUGGUAAAUGGUUAUGUGGCAACAGAAAACGGAUGUACUAACCUUCAUGUGAGUGGAAAAAAGUCUCAGUUUUUGGACCUUUUAUCAAUUGCAGGCAAACCUGAUCAUGACUAAUGCAAACACCAAGAAUCCAAAGUUGAAAUGUUGACCCUGGAGACAGUGGUGGAGCAGCAAAGAAUGUUCUCACAUGAGGGGCUGAGCUGAGUGAAGAUGGCUGUUCCAAAUCCAUCCAAGUUCCAACAGGAAGCAGAAAAAAGAAGCACGGAUUGAACUUGUGUCUCCUGCAAUGGCAGGGGGAUUCUUUACCACUGAG